AGUGUCGCGGGGGUAUGCUGGAGCCUACCUCAGCUGACUUCGGGCGACAGGCGGGGUACACCCUGGACUGGUCGCCAGCCAAUCGCAAUCGAUCUUCUCGAUCUCUAGACUGUGACUGUGUGGCCAACGUGCUAACCACUAGACCACCGUGCGGCCACAUUGAGGAGUUGUUACGUUUAUUUUACAUUACAUUUGAUUACAUUUAGUUUUAUUUAUAAGUUGCAUCUGGCCCAUUGAGGACAGCUAUUAUGUCGAUGUGGCCCUAAGUGAAAAUGAGUUUGACACCCCUGCUCUAGAGACUCCAAAAAGGGUGGGUAUUCUGAACUGCUGUUUGGCACAUAAGCACAGUCAGGACCCGUCCCACCACUCGAAGGCAGAGGGAAACUACUCUCUCGUUCACCAGGUUAAACUCCAACAUACAGACCACAAGCCGGGGCGCAACAGGAAUUGCCACCCCUGCCCGUCGCCUCUCACUGCUGGCAACACCAGAGUGGAACAAAGUCCAUACCCUCUCGAUAGGACUGCUUCCAGAGCCCUUGCUGUGCGUUGAGGUGAGUCCAACUAUAUCUUGCCGGAACCAGCUCAGGCUCAUUCCCUACCAGAGAGCUGACAUUCCAUGUCCCAAGAGCUAGUUUCUGUAGCCAAGGAUCGGACAGCCAAGGUCCCCGCCUUCACCCAGCUCACUCUGCACCCGACCCCUUUGGACCCUCCCAUGAGUGGUGAGCUCAGUGGACCCCCCCUGCAAUGAGCUCACCACGACAUGGGUCCCCCUCCACCAUGCCUGGCUCCAAAGGGGGGCCCCGGUGACCCGCAUCUGGGCAAGGGAAAAUGUGGUCCAAUGUUUUUUAUCAUCAUAGAGGUCUAUUGAGCUACUCUUUGUCUGGUCCCUCACCGAGGACCUGUUUGUCGUAGGUGACCCUACAAGGGGCAUAAAAACCCUGGACAACUUAGCUCCUCGGUUCAUCGGGACACCUAAACUCCUCCACCACGAUAAGGUGAUAGCUCAGGGAGGAGUAUUGCUGGGCAGUUAUAGGAAAAAUGAGAAAAAGUGCCCCAUUCGGCGUGAGCAGUUGUUUUAAGCAUGUUUUAGGUGGUUUGGUGCAUAUGUGGUUCAGUGGACAGUUGUUGGCAAUGUGCAUAAAUGCACUCCAUUCGGUCUGAAACGCAUUUUCAAGCAAUAAAAGUUACAUUCAGCCACUGCAAGCCAACGGAAGGUGCGAGAAGCGCCAUUUAAAGUGAUAGUGUGGCUACUAAGGGUCAAAAGAAAACAUUGUGUGAUCACAAAAAAAAAAAAUAGGCCAUGCAACUGUUUUGAAUCAAUUUUAAUCUUCUCCCAACCCCUGGGUGUCAUGAGCUAGGGUGCUGCUCUGCUUCCUGUAACGUUCUUGGGAAGGUUUGGACCCCAGAUGCAGAGGCGGAGAACUUGGAGGGCAGUUCAACACUUUCAAUAACACAGUGUGCAAAAAUUGUCCAUGAACAGAAAGCGAUGCUGUUGGCAAGGAACAAAAAUAGACCCCAACACCAUGAAGAAGGCAAACAUAGCAAAAAAAGCUGGGAAGCAGCAGGGCUAAACUGGAAAAAUAUAAAACUAAGAAACAACAGUCCGAGCGUAGAGUGAAAGUCCACAUGUGGAUAGCCGGCAGGAGUGAGGACAAAGAACCAGCGGCUCACAGCUGCAAGCGGUCAGCUUAAAUGGAGUGAGAGCAAUCAGCCACAGGUGUGCCCAGCCUUCCUGCCUCCAGCCAGCUCGAGGGUGACUGCAGAAGAGAAAAACAGCCCAGGAGAAGGCAGAGCACACCUACCGACCUGUGGGAGGAGCUCAGGCACACCUGUUUGCAAUCAGCCUCUGGACAUUUUAUACCCUGCCUUUCUACUUACCUGUUGCCAGAUUGUCUCUCCAUGCACGCCUGACUCCUGUCGUUUUGCCUCGUACCCUAGCUUUCUGGUCUACCUGCCCCUAUUGCCUUUUAACCCCUGAGGAUGCCAUGGAUCGAUACAACACUGUGCUGCAGGCUGUUCAGGCAGGGAGGUCCAAGACUGUGGCAUAUUUAAAGUUGGGAGUAGACAGGAAACCAAUCGCAGACCUGGCUGCAAUUUCUGAGCUGCAUGCAGUUAGAUGUACCUAUGAGGAGGUGCGUUCAGCAAUGGCAAAAAAAUAAUCCCGAAGUGCCUUCCCUGCCUGCUGCAGAGAGAGACUGAAAAACGAUGGUCUGGGCCAGAUUGUGGAGGACAAAAAAAAAGCAGAGCAGUUGCUGCAAAUUUACAUUUGAAAAAAAGUAAACAUGUUGAUUUUUAUUGCUGUUUAAAGUUGAUUUUAUGUUAAAUUGAUGCCUCAAGGGUUCAUGGUUUCUUUAUGUUGUGGUUUCUGUAUUGCAAUCUGUUGACACUGUACUUGAUGUACCCGUUUAAGGUUGAUUGGUUUUGAUAAAUGUCAGUCAUGGUGCACAACUAAAAACAUCUCACAGCAACUCAAAAACAGACAAGACACUACUGCUAUUUUUGCAGAACAAUAACCAACUUUGUAGCUCAAACAUGUAACUUUAAGAGCAUUUGCACAAAAACAAUACUGCAAAGCAUGCUGGGGAACAGGAAGUCCUCCAAGCGACGCUACAAUACGCUAGCAUACAUGCUAUUGUAUGUUUUUAAAAAGCCAGCGCAAAACUGAGUUCGGUUGUACUUUAUUGAAGUAGUUAACAAUGUACUUACGUUAUUUUUCAAUUCAAUCCUCUGCCACACAUCCAUCAAAGUCCUCAUCUUCUGUAUCCCAAAUGAACAGUGGGGCAAGUUCUCCAUCAAACACGACAGGUUCCCUCUCGUCAUUGUCAGAAUCAGUCUCGUUGCCGUGCGGCGCCUCAGAAAUGAUCCCGCCGGCUUUUGUGAAUGCUCCAACAACAGUGCAUCAGACACGUUAGCCCAAGCAUCCACAAUCACAAUUCACAAAUUGUGGCAUAACUGGAAUGGUGCUGUCUCCCAGUCUUAGUGAAGCUGUGUCCGCUAGCUGUCACCCAUCACUUCAACGUCGCUCGUAACUUAACUUUAAACGCCGUGUUUACACCGAUGUCCAGCGGUUGGAGUUCCUUCAUCAAGCCUCCCGGAAUGAUGUCAAGCUCCGAGUUCAUUUGCUGCACUUGGUUUUUCACAGCGGCUGUGAGAUGUGCGCGCAUGCAGUCAGAUAAAAACAUCCGGUCUCUUUCAGUACAUGCCACUCAGCCAUUUUCUCCUCAUCCUUACAGUGCUUUUGAUUGGUCUGGCUGGAAACUUUUGUUUAGGCCGCGUCUUUGUCACGCCCUGCAGCGCGCUCUUAUUUUGGUGGGGCACAGUGGCACACUUUCUCCGGGAGGAAGUGACAGCCGCAUCAUGCCUGGUGGCAGAGCAGCUGUGGAAGAUUAUCAUCAGUGGCGUUUAAAAGGACAGAGCUUUGGUACGUGCGGCGCUGGUUGAUUGGCAUUGCUCCUCGUCUCCGCACCCGAGCUGUCACCUAAAGAUUUGACUCACCUGAUGCACUUCGUUCAUGUUAUUUUUCCCACUGAGCUUUUCCCUCUGUCGCUUUUUGUUUGCACCUUUACAACUGUGAGUACCUGCACUUGCUUGAGCACA